rnacentral:lncRNA from 1 species
CAUUGUAUAGCCUGAGCUGCAUAACUUCCUCUGGGAAAAACCCAGCUAUAAAUGAACACAGGAGGGAGGUGCUACCCAGCACUGUACAAAGCCGCAUGAAUCUGUGAGAGCCGGCAGUACUGUCUGGAACUCUGAGCAGAGCACACUGUCAUUAUAUUCCUAUUCUGUAACAGUGCAAAUAGAAGUGCAAUCAUUGCUAUAGAACUCACAGCAGACACCAGGAGACCAACCAUGAAGCCUGGGAGGAAUUCUUGGAAAAAGCUUUCAACUACAGGUAAUACAAUACAUUACAUAUUAUUUGUAUCUUCUAUUACCUGCUCAUUCACCAAACUCUUUAACUAUCUCAGAGGGUUCCUGGAUGUGUUUUAUAAACCUCACUAGCUUUGAUCACAGAUUGUCUUAGAAAUCAUAGAACAUUCUGAGCUAAGUAACAAAGUAACAUCGCCCAACCAUAAAUGCAACAACCCUUUAUGGACAUUUAUUUACAAGCCAGUUUCUAAGCAACCUGUACCUUCAGAUUAAUAUUAAACUACAACUUGUCCUUUGGACCUGAGCUAGGCUGACACCGAAUCUCUAAAUACUACAAUGGGUGUAUACAUUGCUGUAAUGGAUGUGAUUUUUACUUAGAAUACAGUCAUAUGAUUUGGAAUUAAUCUUCCCCUACCAAUGCAUUAUGGGAGUUGCUCUUCACCUCUGCCUGGAUUCCAUCAGGUGUCUUAAACAUUCUUUACAUUUAUUGGGGAACCUCUGAGAAAAAAAUACCUUUGACUUGUAUUAAACGUUAAGAUAUGAUUAUUUGCGGAGUUGUAAUACCCAAGUCUAUAAUGGAUAAAUGGUCUGCAUGCCAAGAUAACUACCUGGUAUUAUUAUUAUUAUGAUCACCAUUUAUAUAGCGACAACAGAUUCCGUAGCGCUUUACAACAUUAUGAGAGGGGGGAUUUAACUAUAAAUAGGACAAUUACAAGAAAACUUGCAGGAAUGAUAGGUCGAACAGGACCUGCUCAAACAAGCUUACAGUCUAUAGGAGGUGGUUAGCACUGUAUCUAUUUCUUAAAUAAAAUAUAAAUAUAUAAAUAGAAAUCCAGGUCAAGUAUUAAUUGGGUUAAAUAAGGGCAGUGACGUCACUUGUUUUUCUCCCUGUGACCUUUUUGAAUCUUCAUUAACAAAAGACAUGGGCAUUAGUCAUCCUCUCACUGUAUAGAUGACAAGCUAUAGCAAGUCUCAUUGUUAUUGUGUCAUUAUUAUUUAUACAAGUAAAUAUAUACGCUAACAUCAUAACUAACUAAGCUGUGCCUCCAAACAGAUUUUUUAAUAUUUUCUAAAAAAAUAUAUAUUUUUUGUUAAUUUCUGUAUUUAGAAAUGUAUUCUGUACUCCUUUAUUAUAUAGUAUGUUACACUAUAUUUACAGGAGAAUGAUGGGAGUUGUAGUUCUAUUUUACCUGGUGAUUUACUGUUUGACCUCCCUAAUUACUUAUAUACAGCAUUAUUCAUUGACGGAGUAGAUUUUAUGUAACAGUGACAUUUUAAAGUGAAACCUAUCUAUUUAAAUCCUAUUUUUCAUUCUUACAUUUUUUUUUCUUUAAAUUGUAUUCUAUUUAUUUUACUAAUGUGAUAAUUUUCAGGUUUUCAAAAUGAAUUUCAAAUUUAAGGCCCAACUUAAAAAUUCUACAAUUCAGCUAUGUGUUCAGUUUUGGCUACUUUGAACUUAAUUGUUCUUGCAUUUUAUUAUUAUUUUGAAACUGUAUUAAUGUAACUUUUUAACAUUAUUUUCCAGAUAAAGAGAACAUCAAUGAAGUUGCAAAGCAAGUCCGGCAAAUUGGGGAUUAUUUCAAUAUGAAGCAAAAAAUUCUCAAUGUUGUGACGAAGAUUCUUACACCAGGGACAUGAUAACUAAAAUGACAAAAUGCAAAGUUAAUCAACAAAAAAGUAUGGAAAAAAAAAUCCAGUCUACUAGACUGAAAAUACCCAUUUAAACCUGUAAAAAGGUGUACGAAAAUGAGAAACUGCAUUGGCGGUCUAUUGUUCGGAAUGCAGAAGACAAAGAAGAACAUUUGUAAAAAUGCUUAUAAGGAUGUCUAUGUGUCAGCAGUGCAAUGGCGCAGAAGGUGGUGUAUAAUACAGUUUGCUAAACUCAGAUGGAACUCAGCAAAGCAACGUGACUUUGUAAGGAUUUCACUUACCAUGGAUCAACGCGAUAGGUUGGAUUAUAAUAUGACUGACAUUACAGCUGUGAAAUGACUGUUCCCUGUAGCUCUACAAGAAGUGGUCCAUCUAAUUUACUAUUAAGAAUUGAUAUAGGAUGAUGCAAUGCUCUUUCAAAUAUGUCUAGAAGAAAUUGUUAAAUAAAAUUUAGUUAUUCUCAUAUAAAACUAUGUAGCUUUUACAAAAAAAUAUUAAAGGUCUUUCAAUGCCGAUAAAUAA